rnacentral:rRNA from 1 species
GACGAACGCUGGCGGCGUGCUUAACACAUGCAAGUCGAACGAAGUGGCGAACGGGUGAGUAAUACGUGGGUAACGUGCCCGCCUUUUUGGGGUAAGCCUUGGAAACGGGGUCUAAGACCGAAGAAAGGGGGCUGGGCUCGCGGCCUAUUAGCUUGAUGGUGGGGUGAUGGCCUACCAAGGAGGUGACGGGUAGCCGGCCUGAGAGGGUGAACUGCCACAUGGGGACUGAGAUAAGGCCCAGACUCGUACGGGAGGCGGCAGUGGGGGCUAUGGCACAAUGGGCGAAAGCCUGAUGCAGCGUCGGUGCGUGGGGGAGGCAGGUUGUCGGGUUGUAAACCUCUUUCGCUAGCGAACGGGUAGGUGGAGAAUAAGCGCCGGCUAACUACGUGCCAGCAGCCGCGGUAAUAC